CAACCAUGGAGAGGGGAUACGGAUGCUGGGCUGGCUCAAAAUGCUUAAAAUUCUGCCGUAGGCGGCUUGGAGAACAGGUGGUAGCGAAGAGGAUGAAGCUCGCGCCGCCUGUCUCUGAGGUCCACUUCUCGGGGGGGAAUUACGUGAAGAUUUCCCCUGCACAAGAGCAGAAAAUGGGAGAAUCCAAAUGUCUCCUGGGAGCUGAAAGUAAUCAGUCCAAUGCAUCCCUCAUCUGCGUAGCAUAAUACUUGGAAGCAGCUGCAGUGCUUGCCUCAGAGUCGGGUCAAUCGCCUGUCACAUUGCAGUGUGAGGUGUUCGAGUGCUGAUUCCAGUUCACGUUCUAUGUUUUUCUGUUCCACGACUCUCAUUUCCAGCUCUGCAGUUUGCAGCUGUAAUUUACGUUCUGCCUCACGUA